rnacentral:rRNA from 1 species
UACGUAGGGGGCGAGCGUUGUCCGGAAUCAUUGGGCGUAAAGGGCGCGUAGGCGGCCAUGCGUGUCUUCCGUGAAAUCCCUCGGCUUAACUGAGGACGUGCGGAAGAAACUGCAAGGCUCGAGUCCGGGAGAGGGGGGUGGAAUUCCCAGUGUAGCGGUGAAAUGCGUAGAUAUUGGGAGGAACACCGGUGGCGAAGGCGGCCCCCUGGACCGGUACUGACGCUGAGGCGCGAAAGCGUGGGGAGCGAACAGG